UAGACAUUAUUAUGAAUUUCUGAGACACACAAAUUCCUCCCGUAUUCAUUUCAAUUGAACAUGUAUUUACACUCAGGUGCCUUUUGUUCUCAGCGCACUGUAAGUCCCCAAUAAAGUGUGCAACUUAGCAUAAUGACGCGGCUUUUGCUAGAACAAAGCAAACCGAAAACCAAAUCAUUCCACCUGUAAGGGGGCGGGGAAGAAACCGAGGUAUUUAUUCAGGCAACUUCAGUAGUCGCCUAUUUUCCUGGGGGCGGUGCCACUGGUGGACCCGAUGGACCCAGCCGCGGCCGCCAUUUUGGGGUCUUCCCUAAGGAUCUCCUACCGGCUUUUCGUGCCGCUGCCACCGCUCCCCGCGGCCUUGCCGGGCAGGAUGAAUGUGAUAGACCACGUGCGAGACAUGGCGGCCGCGGGGCUGCACUCCAACGUGCGGCUCCUCAGCAGCUUGUUACUUACAAUGAGUAAUAACAACCCUGAGUUAUUCUCCCCAUCUCAGAAGUACCAGCUUUUGGUGUAUCAUGCAGAUUCUCUCUUUCAUGAUAAGGAAUAUCGGAAUGCUGUGAGCAAGUAUACCAUGGCUUUACAGCAGAAGAAAGCCUUAAGUAAAACUUCAAAAGUGAGACCUUCAACUGGCAAUUCUACAUCCACUCCACAGAGUCAGUGUCUUCCAUCUGAAAUUGAAGUGAAAUACAAAAUGGCUGAAUGUUACACAAUGCUAAAACAAGAUAAAGAUGCCAUUGCUAUACUUGAUGGGAUCCCUUCAAGACAAAGAACUCCCAAAAUAAACAUGAUGCUGGCAAACUUGUAUAAGAAGGCUGGUCAGGAGCGCCCUUCAGUCACCAGCUAUAAGGAAGUGCUGAGGCAGUGCCCAUUAGCCCUUGAUGCCAUUCUAGGUUUGCUGUCCCUAUCUGUAAAAGGUGCAGAGGUGGCAUCAAUGACAAUGAAUGUCAUCCAGACCGUGCCUAACUUGGACUGGCUCUCUGUGUGGAUCAAAGCAUAUGCUUUUGUGCAUACUGGUGACAACUCAAGAGCAAUCAAUACCAUCUGUUCACUAGAGAAAAAGUCAUUAUUACGAGAUAACGUGGAUCUACUGGGAAGCUUAGCAGAUCUGUACUUCAGAGCUGGAGACAAUAAAAACUCUGUCCUCAAAUUUGAACAAGCACAGAUGUUGGAUCCUUAUCUAAUAAAAGGAAUGGAUGUAUAUGGCUACCUCCUGGCACGAGAAGGGCGGCUGGAGGAUGUGGAGAAUCUUGGCUGCCGCCUUUUCAAUAUUUCUGAUCAGCAUGCAGAACCCUGGGUGGUCUCUGGGUGUCAUAGCUUCUAUAGCAAACGCUACUCUCGGGCCCUCUAUUUAGGAGCAAAGGCCAUUCAGCUGAACAGUAAUAGUGUUCAAGCUUUGCUACUUAAGGGAGCAGCACUCAGGAACAUGGGCAGAGUCCAAGAAGCAAUAAUCCACUUUCGGGAGGCUAUACGGCUUGCACCUUGUCGCUUAGACUGUUAUGAAGGUCUCAUCGAAUGUUACUUAGCCUCAAACAGUAUUCGUGAAGCAAUGGUAAUGGCUAACAAUGUUUACAAAACUCUAGGAGCAAAUGCACAGACUCUUACCCUUUUAGCCACUGUUUGUCUCGAAGACCCAGUGACACAGGAAAAAGCCAAAACUUUAUUAGAUAAAGCCCUGAACCAAAGGCCGGAUUACAUUAAAGCUGUGGUGAAAAAAGCAGAACUGCUUAGCAGAGAGCAGAAAUACGAAGAUGGGAUUGCUUUGCUGAGGAACGCACUAGCUAAUCAGAGUGACUGUGUCCUGCAUCGGAUCCUAGGAGAUUUCCUUGUAGCUGUCAAUGAGUAUCAGGAAGCAAUGGACCAGUAUAGUAUAGCACUAAGGAUCCCAUCUAGUAUAGUGUUACAUCAGUCACUGCGUGUCCUUAGGCUCCUCUUGGCUGUAGGAGUGGACCUGCUGCUGGGUUGUAUAUGAAGAGCAUCUGUAAAUUUUACCCAGUUGUUCUGCAAUGUGAGGGCCCAUUCUCCACACCUUAGGUAAGAUGUCAGUUCCCCUUCUCCCCCCCGAAUUAAACUUUCCUAAGAACCAGAUGUUCCUUCCAAUGGAUCCGAUAUGACAGUUGCUUUUUUGUUUACUCCUAGGCAUUUUCCCUUGUCUGAUGGCUAUGACUCUCCAGAACAGUGCUAAGUAGUGGGCAGUGGUGGAUGGUGAGUGAUUCUGGUGUUUCAAUACUUCUGGCUUAUUUUUCAUGUUAGAAAAUGGGAGUUAUAAUCUGGAUGUUAAAUUUAAUCAAAUGGAUGUUCCAUGUCUGUAGAGUUGAUAGGGCUUGUAUUUAUUAGCUUUAUAGAAUCAUCCAACUAUUCUUACAUUCCUGAUUCCUUUUUCUUUUUUAAGUGACAAAAAAAUCAUCUUAGGAAAUUCAUAACAGAGAAAAGCCUCAUGCAUAUCCACCCCUGGCAGAUAAGCACUAUAAAUAACCACCAAAUGAAUGAAUUUCAGGACUUCCUUCAGUCCUAUUUUCUAUAUUAACAAUAGGAAGGUAGAAUCAUCUCUCUCCACUGCUACACAGUCUCUAAGCCUCCGACUUUUAAAUCAUUAAUUAUCUCUGAAAAUUCCACUGAUGGGAGACAGUAGAGCCAGGGCAGGAAUAUUUUAUAAAUCUUAUCACACGAGCAGACCUUCUACCAUUCUGCUCUCCAAUAACUUACCGCCCUUCCUUUUAUCCACAUGAGGGCAAAACUGCUCAGGGCUGCAGGCCCUCAGUGCACAUCACCCACCCCUCUCAUAGAACAAUCAACACCACACUGUGAACUUGUAGGAUAGAUUUAUUUACCUGAAACCAUGUCUGUGCAAUGCUUGUUACCAGCACAGAAAUAAACUGAUCUCUAUUUACAGUCUAAAGUCAAACAUGCGUUGUGAUAAAUUGACAUUUAGCAUUUUAUUAAGAUAAAUGCAUCACGAUAUUUGUAUUGCACCAACAUCUGUCUACUGCUUCUGAUUUCAUUAAAUAAGUUACACUUAAUACAGCGCAAAAAAGCUGUUUGCACACUCAAAAUUUAACAAGUUAUGAACUGGAGGCCUACAUUUUAACCAUUCAACACCUGUAGUGUUCUCAAUAAAUUUAUAAAUAAGCAAAACUGUACAGGGCCAAUUAAAAAGUAGCAUGUUUCAAUGACACUGUAGAGAAAUCUGGCUACUUACAACUGAAGGCAUGCAUUACAACUGAAUAUUGAAUAUCGUACAUUUAUAUAAGGUAUGACAUUUUGGACAGAGAAGCAUGGAGACUUGGCUGAUGGUGUCUAAGUUCUUGGAUAAGGUUUCAGAACCCAUUCUUCUUGUAGCAAAGAAACAAAUUUUCUGGAGAGGCUUUCUGAUUCAUUAAGCUAAAUUGUACAUUUGUAAUUAUUACUUUGAUUUAAAAGCUAAAAAUCUCAUUGGUAAUACACAUUUCCUCCACAUAACACACAAUGAGUUGGGGGCCUUUUUCCUACUUUUCUCCCCCUGCCUCCCAACUUCAAUCAUGCAGAGGGCUGGUAGAUGUGUUGCUAAAAACACACAUGCACGCAACCGAACACCCUUACAUUUCUGCAAAAUGGCUUAGGAAGCGGUUACUCCAGCAUUGCUGAAAAGGAAAGAAAGAGGAAAUCAGCUUUAUGAAACAUGGGGAGGAAAUGUUAGAAUAACUACUUAAGACUAAGAUUAAUAGUGAUAGAUGAAAAGAGAAUAUUCAGCUUGAUCUUUUUAAGAUUUUAAGACCAGCGUUUCUGAUCACUGUCCCUGAGUCACUGCCCACACAGGGUAUCAUCUGGAAACACUGGCUUGGCAAUGUAAAUCCUUGGUGUCAUCUGCCUACACAGCAAAGCUCCCUGGCUCACAGGAGAAUCCCACCAGGCAGAUGCUUAAUCGCUUCAGGUGUUACAGGGGUGAGAUGGGCAAGAGCAGGACAGUUUUCAGUUAGCAGUGCAGGGAUAUGAAGCAGAAGUGAGCAGUGUGGCACUCAGCGCCAAGCCUCUAGCUUCCUCCUCCCCAUCCUUCCCCAGGGGCAGGCCCAGCCCUGCCUGUUCCCAGGACAAAAUCCUGUACCUCAGCUGCUCAUCACCAUUCCCUUCCAAGAAAGAGGCCCGGUGGUUUUGACAUAAUUUGGUGGUUAAAAUUAAAAGGCAAUGGCCAACUUAGCUCGGUAGAUGCAGCAGGCUCUGGGCUGUGGGUAGGUGCUUGGCAGACACUGCGCUAUCGCUUGCGGCCUCAUACUGCUGAGGGAUGCCUACCACAGACAUCCAGGGGCCCAAGGCCCCAGCUUGAGGGUGAUGUGGUAGCAGCUGCUUGUGAGGGAGACUGGCAGUUGCCUUGCUUGUCUGUGAGCUCACGCUCUCCUGAUAGAACAUGAAUGUAUUAUCUGUAUUUUAAAUGCAGAAUGAGCUGCUGGAGUGGUGCCCCAGGGACGGGAUUGUCAUCUUCUGGGCAAAGCUGUAUCCGAAAGGCCAGAGAGAAGACAAGUCUCGGCUGCAAAGGAUGUGACCCAGAAGAUGAAGAAAAGUGGUCUAUUUAAGAGGAACCUACGGAUAUGUGAGUUCACUGCUUUCACUAGCUUUUUGCUUUUUAAUGAACCAAGCUUCCGGGAUGAGUCCUUGCAGCUAACAAAGAUCAAAAGAAUCACGAUUUUUUGUGAACCUUCUCUCAGCACUAGCAAAGGCACAGCUCCCUCACAAAGCCUCGGUCUCACCAAAUCAGAAUGGGCUUCUCUUCCUCCGGGCCCUCCCCAACCAGUAUCUGGCUAUGCCACUAUCUGAGGCCGCUGGCACAGGUAGCACACAUAUGCCCCCUGCUCUCAGGGACAGCCACAGAGCACAGCAGUGCCUGACACAUGGGGCUUAUUCACUAGUGUCACACGGUUAGCUCACUUGGUAGCAGUCACCUUCAGGUUAAAGCAUCUGAAUUCCAGGGAAUACUCACGUUAGUUGAUGGAUGUUGGAAGGCAUUGGAGGAAAACACCACAGUUAGGACUGUUAAUGACUUAUACACUGUUGGUAAGACUGAUCUGGAACAUGCAUCAUAGUACGGUGGUGGUGGUUAGUGCCAC